rnacentral:rRNA from 1 species
UACGGGGGGGGCAAGCGUUGUUCGGAAUUACUGGGCGUAAAGGGCGCGUAGGCGGCCAUCUAAGUCAGACGUGAAAUCCCUCGGCUCAACCGAGGAACUGCGUCUGAUACUGGAAGGCUUGAAUCCGGGAGAGGGAUGUGGAAUUCCAGGUGUAGCGGUGAAAUGCGUAGAUAUCUGGAGGAACACCGGUGGCGAAGGCGGCAUCCUGGACCGACACUGACGCUGAGGAGCGAAAGCCAGGGGAGCAAACGGG